CUGGAGACUUUGGGGCGCGGGUGAAACCCGCAGGGGGCUGCCGUUAACCCCUUCCUGCCCGACCUGAAACCUGCGGCCCCUCGACCCAGCGCACCGGGGCUUCCCCAGCACAUGGUGGGGGGCAGUCCCUGCUGGGGGAGAACCCCUCAGUGGAGUUGAGACCCCCCCCAGUUGUCAUGGAAACCAGAGCUUCCCGCGCAGCCGGGCGCGUGCUUCCUCCUCACUUCCUGUCUUCCUCCAGCUCCCGAGUCCAGUGACAAUGAGCUUCCCGUUCCCGGUCUCCGGAGAAGGGGGUGGGGGUCAGCGAGGCCUGGGUGUGCGUGACUCAAGCCAGCCCGGGGGUCCCUUGGCCGCAACCGACCUCGCUCCCUCUUCUUAGCCCCUGUGACUCACCCCUCGCGGCUUUCCCCGCGUGUGACUCAGGCCCCUGGGAGGGGGCUGGGGACUUUGGGACCCCCUCCAGGCAGCCGGCACUGAGAACUAAGUUCUGGGGACCUUGAGCUUCGGGGGAGGGGCUCCCCUUCCAGAGAGAAGCCGUGAGGCGAGGCGGCUGCUGAGUCCCUUUAGCUGGCCCUUACCAAGGUCACUAGGGCGCUUUCCCAACCCCACCCCAGGCCUCCGGGAACCCAGCUCCAGCACCCCCACCACACACGCGCACCCGCGCGCACACGCAGCCCACAGGAAGUUUUGGCAGAGCCUGUCGUGGCGAUGAAACGGUUAAAGCCGUUUUCUUAUUCAUUUCAUCCAGGGGCCCAUUUUGACUCAGAGCAAGCGGUGCCCCCUGGAGCCGGCCUCACGGGCAGGGGAAGAAGACCCUGUGCAAAAGGACCCACAGAAUUUGGCAUGCGCUUGGCACUGCACAGACGCCUGUCUGCUUGUGAUCAUCCACAAUAGAGUUGCUAAUGCUCCAGAGGCAGACAGCACUUCUAGCUAUGGAACGUCAGAUGAGUUCCUCAAUCUCCUGCACCUCCGCUUCUCAUCUGUUAAAUGGGGAUACAAAGAGCAAACAUUUUGCUGGGCUGUUGGAAGCAGUCAGUGACUUACUUUAUGAAAGCCACUUAGAACAGUGUCUGGCCCAUGGUCAGAGCCAUAUAAGUGUUACCUAUUAAAAUAAUAAUUACUAUUUCUUA